rnacentral:pre_miRNA from 1 species
AGUGGGAUAGCUGGGUCAUAUGGUGGUUCCAUGCCUAGUUUUUUAAGGAAUCUCCGAACUGCUUUCCAGAGUGGUUGCACUAGUCUGCACUCCCAUCAACAAU